rnacentral:lncRNA from 1 species
AGGAAGAGCCUGAGUUCAGAGAGUAGAUGGCAGUUGUCCUGUAUUUUUGCUGGUAUUUGGUUGGUAUCCCCGUAUUCUCCUACACAUAGCCUAUAAACAAAACCUACAUCCCUACCAAGGGAAAAAACCUCUUCUGAUUCCUGCCAUCAAGGCUUUGAAAAAUCUGAGUGCACAAUUUUUUGUUUCAUGCUGUACAGCCGUGCCUCUGAAGUAGUUCCUGAGGUUCUCCACGAACAACACUUUGGGGGUGGAGGAGAAAACAAGUCCCUAAAGGUAAAAACAAUUUUAUAAUCUUACUAACAUCACUGUGCGGUAUAGUUCUCCCGAGGAUGUGUAGUACAGAGGGAAUUUACUCUGAGAGGAAGUUUAAACUGAAUAUUAAACGACAUGACUUUU